rnacentral:lncRNA from 1 species
UAUCCGCCCCCCCCCGCCAUGCAGGGAUAGAUUUUUGACUCUGGGUUAUCUUGGAAUGAAAUCCAAAUCAAAUGUGGUUUGCUGUAGCAAUACACAGGUUUCUGUUCAUGGCCAACAACUGAUGUUCUUUAUCCCUUGGUGGCAGAUUUUUCGGACCUCACCCGACACCACAUUCCCUGAGCCCAUGCGCCUGUCGUCCUCACCCCCCAAUGCUCCCCCAAGACAAUCAAAGAGACAAGGACAGAGGAUGAAGAGACCUGUGGCCGUGUACAAUCUGUGUCUGGAGCUGGAGGAUGGUGACAGCCCUAACUCUCCUAAGGAGGACACUCCGACCAGCAGUCAGGACUCACUUUCUUCCCCGUCUCCUACGACUGUGGCUGCCCUUGGGCCCCCUGCACCAGACAGAAACCACCUUCUGGUGGAUGGAGGGACCUGCGGGGACUUGGCAGCCACUGUGUAAGUUGCUGUACUUUGUUUGGUUUGAUGCUGAGGGAGGGAGGACUGUGACCUUUACGUUGAUCUUUAUUUGGCCAGGGGGCACUGACGCUGUUAGAGCUAAGGAUGCUCUUUCUGUAUUCAUUGUAGCUGCCCAAGGGAGAAUGGGCCAGAAGGCUAAGGGGAAACAGGUACAACUUCAAAUCCUCAGGUUCAAUCUGUGGCAGUUUUGGGUCAUUCAAAUGAACUUGUUACUCUUCUAGUCAGGAUAUUGUCUCACUACUUAUGCAAACUUUAAGAGAGCUGAGAAUGCAUGCAUGUGACGGAUAGACUCUUGAAGCUGCCCUUAGUGAUGAUUUUAGCUAUGUGAAUGUUUGACAGCUUCAUGUUAGCAUUCUGCUCCGUUUUACCCCAGAGCUCCCUGAAUAAUGGAGACUUGACGAACGACAUCUGAUUUUGUCUCCUCUGCUUUGGUUUAGUGCCAAUCGUGCAGAUCACCUCAGGUAUAUUAGGAUAAAUAAUACAAAUACUAGGACAGACAACUACAAAAUGCCUUAAACUUAUUUGACUGCACAAGGGUUUGUCAUGCUGUGUUGACUGAGGCUGUGGAGUUGGGGCAGAAUGGGGAUGGGGGUGGGCUCUCAAAAGGACACUGAAUUUCAAACAAGUGUUCAGGGAAGACAAAAACAGCUUCAUUAAUAAUUCCAAGAUAUUACUUGAUUAGUCAAAUUACGUCCAAAAAUAUAUUUAUAAUUCAUCUGGAGAGCAUUAAUUUUUUUUUAAACUAAAGUUGCUAAAAAUAAGUUUGUAGAUAAUGAUGUCAUCUGACCCUAGCUGGGACUUCUUGGGACUUUAAAUGGAUCGGAAAGUGUUCCUUGCGGUACUUGGCUUUUUAUAGUUACAGUGGAAUUCACAUGAAAUCAUUAUGAACCUAUUAAGUAUUAAGAGAGUCUGGAGAAAUUUGGCAUGCAGAAAUUUGGGGGGGACCCAAAGAAGAUGUUGAAAAGCUAACUUAAAUCAGAGUGCAAUUCCCAAGGAUGGAAACAUAUUCUCUGGAUGAGCUCGUUUCUCGCCCGAGAUUGUCAUAUAUGUUUAUUACUCGGUCUUCACUUUUACUGUGUCUCCCCACACCUUCUGGGUACCAGGGAUUGAAUUCAGUGCCUCACACGUGCUAGGCAAGCACUCUGCCAGAGCACUAUCCCCGGCCCAUCACACUCGAAUAAAUACUAUAAGCAACAAGAAAAUCAUUUAUGAAGGAACCCAGAAUCCUAAUCCUGGUUGUGCUCGAAAUGGGGUUGAGCCCAUGUGCAUUUUAGUGGAAAACAGACCCCCGAUUAUUUCUUUCA